CCCCCUCCUCCUCAGCCCCAGAUCGUGGAGCUAGAGGCGCAGCGGCAGCCGCCUGGGCCCCACAGCGGGGACCGUCUCCCUCCGCCCUUUCCUAGCCCGGGGCUCCGCGCGCGGGCGGGGGCGGAGCGACGCGAGGCCGGGGAGGGGCGGGCACAUCCGUGUCGCCGUGCGGGCCGGAGCUCCAUGCCCGUGGGGCCCCGCCCGGGUCGAGAAGGGAGCAGCUCGGAGUCGGGACAGGCAGCGCCCCGCGCCCGGGCGGAGCUGAGGGAGCCUCCCCCUUUUCCUUGGGGUACAGGACCCGGCACAAGACUCUCCCCCUCCCCCCGCUGGCUCAGUGGCUCUUCUCAGCCCGGAGCCCCUGAGCGAGGGGGUGUUACUGGGCUCCCAGCAACGCACCGGGGAGCGGCUCCUGCCCGCAGGACUGAGGCGGAGGUGCCCGGCGCACCGGGGCCUGUGCUGCGAUUUAAGCUUUUCUGGCUUCUUACAGGGAUGAGCGUGGUGUAAACAUCUGGCGAGCUGGGAAGUGUCGCCGCCCUGCCCGUAACAGCGCUGACAACACCUCGCCAAAAGGGGUGGGUGCUCUCCCAAGCCCGCUUCUUCCUUCCCCACCUCUCACCUAAGGGAAAAGCCUCAUUGCUCCCGCUGUCCUUGUACUGGUGGACUGACAGUGGGAACAGGUUGCAUCUUGACUGAGUCAUAGCGUGUAAGGCAAGAAGGGACCACCAGAUCAUCUACUCUGACCUAUAUAUCACAGGUACCAUUCCCAACCAGCACCCACACACUAAACCCAACAACCAAAACAGGUCAAAGUAUUGCAGCUCACAGGCCCUACCAAAUUCAUGGCUGUGAAAAAUGCAUCACAGACUGUGAAAUCAGAUCUCCCUUUAGGUGCAGGAACUAAGGGUGCUGGGUGUUUGGCCUCACCCCCUGGCUUGAAGUGGUUUCCAUCAUAUACGGGUUUACCAUUUGGUUCAAUGGCUGUCAGCAAACCUAUUAUACAAAUUGUUCCAGCACAACUGGAUCAACCCCAUGAUGAAAUCUAGCUAUUUGUGGGGGGAAGGGCAAGGCUGGAGGAGCCCCAGCCUGGAGCUCCUACUGUGCACCAGGCUCCAGCUGCUAGUCCUGGCUGGGCUGAGGAGGGAUGGGACUGCCUCUUCUCCUGCACAGCUGCUCUCAAGGGGAAGAUCAGACACACCUCUGGGUAUCUCCCCGGGCUGCAGGAAACUCUUUGGCUGCGCUGCCUUCAGAGCCCAGCUCUGAAGGCAGCACAGAAGUGAGGAUGGCAAUCCUGCGACUCCCCCUACAACAGCUUUGUGAGCCCCCCGCUACUGCCUUUUGGGUCAAGACCCCCACAGUUACAACACCCUGAAAUUUCAGAUAUAAACAUCUGAAAUAGACUAUUUUUAAAAUCCUAUGAUGGUGAAAUUGACCAAAAUGGACUGUGAAUUUGAUAGGGACCUAAUUAUGUGUCACAAGCAGAGAGUAAGAGGAACCAUGGUGCACUCAUUGCCCAAGGUCCCUGCAGUAGCAGUGAAUUGAUUGAGUAAAAUAUACCCAUUUAAUUCUAGCAAGUUAGCCACACCCCAUGCUGCAGAGGAAGGUGAAAAACCCCUAAGGUCACUGCCAAUCUGAACUGGGGAAAAAAUCCUUCUUGACCCUCCAUAUGGUGACCAGUUCGACCCUGGGCAUAUGAGCAAGAGGGAGAGAGAGAGAGAGAGAGAAUGUCCCAUGCCUCAUUAGCACAUUAGCCCAUGCUGUCCAGUGUCCAAUUUGCAGCCAUGCCCAACUCUGAUGCUUCAAAGUAAGGAGAUAAAAAAAAGCAGACUACACAGGAGGUUUGCAAAAUCCCUUCCUGAUCCCUGCAGGUGAUCAGCUGAAGCCCUGAAACGUGAUUUUAGAAACAUAAGACAUAAACCAGAAGGAGAUCCACAAGGUUGCUGAGCUCUGCCCCCUACACAAGCAACCCCAUUAUAUAAUCACACUCAUAACUAAUUACUUUGUUUGCCCCUACAACUCCUAUUGGGAGGCUGUUCCAGAACCUCACCCUUCUGAUGUUAGAAAGCUUCUAAUUUUCAGCCUGAGUUUGAUCAUGGCCAGUUCAUAUCCUUUUCUUGUGCCAACAUUAUUAUUCAGCCGAAAUAGCCCUUCACCCGCCCUGGUGUUUUCCCCUCUGAUGUAUUUACAGAGCGUAUUCAUAUAUCCUCUCAGCUUUCUUUUUGCUAGGCUAAACAAGCCAAGCUUUUCCAGUUUUCUGUCAAAAGAUAGGCCCUCCAUUUCCCUUGUCAUUCUAGUAGCUACUCUCUGUGCCUGUUUCAUUUUGAAUUCUUGAACAUGAGUGACCAGAAUUGUACCCCAUAUUCCAAAUGAGGUCUUACCAGUGCCUUGUACAAUGGCAUUAAAACUUCUCCGUCUACUGGAAACCCCUCAUCUGAUACAUCCUAGCAUUUGCCCUUUUUGCAGCUGCAAGCUUCCUACUCAUCUUGUGAACAGUCAACACACCCAACUCUUCUCUUCUGUCGCUUUCAACUAAAGAGCGCCCAGCUUGUAGCAGAAAUUCUUAUUAUUAGACUCUAAGUGCACGAAUCUUCACCUGUGUAAAAGGCUAUAAUAUUUACUAAAAUGCAUACAACACUCUUUGAUGACUGGAGUUCUAGUGGGUCAUAGUUACCUAUCUUGUUUGGGCAAUUCUCCCUUUCAAAAUCUUUUUGAAUGGAUUACAACUACGCACAAAAACCAGCCCAAGCAACCAGGAUUCAUUUCUGCAGCAGAAAGUGGAAUAGAGACUUCCAAUGCACACAUUUUUAAAAAAAAAAUUAAAAUUGGUGUAGUAAUUCCAAAAAAAUAAUCCCACUAAAUCUCUCCAAAAUCCUUAGGUUGACUCUGUGUAAAAUGGAGUGACCACAAUGGACUUGUGUCUUAUCUUUGGGGAAGGAUAAGUAGUAAAAAAAUUCUUCCACAUCCCUGUCAAAGAUGCUAAGGUUGGAUCUGUACAUAUUACAAAUAAAGACUACAGCUAUCUAUAUUUUAAUAAUGUAUGAUGCAUCCAUUGCCAUGGUAUCUGAUUGCAUUACAUACAUUAAAUUAAACAAGCCAUCAGUAUUAUUUAUAUAUAUAUAUAAAUAAUAUAUAUAUGGAGAAAUCAAACACACCAAUACAUCAAAGAAAAAAAUCUUCAGCGUCUUAGUUUAAUAAAGUCAAGCAAACACUUAGCUGAAAAGACAAGUCUUGCAUAGGGCCCUAAAGGCCAGCAAUCUCAGCCUCUGGAGGACAGCCAGUAAAAAGUGUUUAAAUACAAAUGUGGCUGAGUUUCAGGGCCAGCUCCAGGCACCAGCCUGGCAAGCAGGUGGUUGGGGCGGCCGCUCCGGAGAGGGGCGGCACAUCCAGCUAUUCGGCGGUAAUUUGGCGGACGGUCCCUCACUCCUGCUCGGAGUGAAGGACCUCCCGCCGAAUUGCCGCCGCAGAUCGCGAUCAUGGCUUUUUUUUGGCUGCUUGGGACGGCCAAAACCCUGGAGCAGGCCCUGCUGAGUUUCAGUGCCUGGUAUUGAGAAGACAUUGCAGUGCAAUGAUAAUUUAAAAAAAUAUAUAUAUUUUUGAUUUUCAAGAAACUUACUAUAUUAGAGUAUCGUCAACAAAGAAUUAUAUAAGUAGAAAAUCUUUAAAGUAGAGAGGGACAAACUCAGACUUUGGGGGAAUUUGCAAAAGGAAACUGAAUUUCACUAUCAGGUCCACUCACUGAAAAUUCUCUGUCUCUUGCCCCCACCUGAUUCAGUCAAAGGUUUCUUGGUCCAAGUGUCUCAGAUUAUUUCACCCCAAAUCCCUAAAUUGCACUAGAAAUGGACUAGCACACAAUGCAGAUCACUAAACAUUAUCACAAGUACAAACAAACAAAAAACCCAAACAAGCUCAAAACAUUUUUUGACAAAUAGGCUGCCACAUUCACAGCAGAUUAAGCUUCUAGGCUUGUUUCUCCACUGACAUUGCUUUUUCACUAGCGUAACUACAAUGGAGUGGAGCAGAAAAUCAGGCCCUCUUAGUGGUCUUCUAUUCAUAUUCAGUGCUUUGGAGAUAUUUUAGUUGAUUUUAUCAUAUAAAUAUUGUUUAGGCUUGGUGAGGACACUUUUUAAAUUACAAAAUACUGAGUUUCAAUUGCAUUAUUUAUUGAAAAUCUGAAUAAAAUCUAUCUCAAGCUGUUAUUUUUAAUUCUAGUUUGUUCCAGUUCUGCUUGUAUAUCAUAUCAAUGGUUCAUCUAAUACUUCUAAAAUGUUUUUCAUGUUGAGGGCUAUCACUCAUUUUAGUUCCAAAUGUACCUAUCUUCCACACAAAUUUAGGGUCCCCUCUCAUUUAUUGUUGGAAAUUAUUUACAGCAGAAAUAAAGGAUUGUGAAAAUAAACAUAUGCCAUAUGCAAAGAGUUAUUUGGAUUAGAGGAAUGGCUCUUACGUAAGUUUCCUGCAUGAAUAAUUUUUGUCCCCCUCAUUUUGUUUCUUUGUGAUAUAUUAUAUCCCACGCUUAUACUUUGGCAGGCUGAGAGGUAUGAUUUGUGCCUCCCCUGUAGCACUGUAUACCCUUGAUAUAAAACUUCUAACCUAAACAGAUUAAACCAGGUGAGUAGUCUCCAAAAAGGGGUGGGAGGUGAAGACUGUCACCAAGAUAAACAGCAGUGAGAGGAGCAGAUUACAUGGCGAUAAUUCUUCCCUCCCUCACAAGUAUAUUGUGAGACAUAAUUCAUUAAUGAGAAAAAUAAGGUAGGUGCAGACAUAUUUUUCAUUGGACCAAUAUCUGUUGGUGGAAAGUACAAACUUUUGAACUACACAGAGCUCUUCUUCAGGUCUGGGGAAGGAAGCAGAGUGAAUUAAAUACAAGUUGGGACAGAUUGCUAAGCAGAAGGACUAACAUGUUGGGGGUUGUUACUUGAAAUGAAGUGAGCAAUUGGGGGUUAGAUUUUUAUGCAUAAAGGUUUUGAAAGUGGGCAGUUAAGGGUAGCAUGUUAAUAAUAGGUUAAUUAAUUAAUAUUAGUAAAGUGUUUUGAAAUCCCAUGAAUGAAGCUGUUAAAGUGAAACAGUUACCCAGUUUUUCAUGUAUUCGUAACAGUUAAGGGGAUUCAUGCAUCUUUUUUCUUUCCAAGAUAGUGUUUAGCAAGUUUAUAUUGAAAUUUUUUUUAUCAAGUAUUCCCUACUUAUGCAAUUCUCUUGAGCAAAAACCUUUUCUACCAGUUGUGUCCCUAUGUAAUCUGAAGCCUAUUACUUGAAUGUUCAGUCCACUAGGGUUGGUAGGAAAUUAUUGUUGUCGAUAACUGUGAGCACUGGUGAUGCUUCCAGUUUAGCUUUCACUUGCCUAAUAUGGCAUCAGAUGGUAAAAGAGACUGAUUUUUGAAAAAAAGCAUAGGCAUGCAACUGCACAUGCAAAAUGGAUAUGCAAUUGAUGCCUAACUUGCACAUACCUGUACAAUGGAUGAAUUUAUAAAUCAGGUAAUAGCAGAUGCAAAUGCCAGAACUAUUUGUCUAUGCAAUUACCCAGACAGUGUCAUACAAACAGAACUUGUGCAAGCAAAUUAGGCAUGCUUUUGUGCACUUAGCCAUUUUAGAAUUUAGGCCCUACAGAUAAGGUUAAAAGGACUAGAAAGUUGGAGCUGAUGCCUGUUUUACAUGGUCUCUGCCCACUUUACCAAGAAAUCUAACCGCGGAACCCAGAAAUAUUUGAAAUUUGAGCCCUCCUCAUAGUCAUGUUUGCUGCAAUCUCUUGAGUAUGAAACAAACUUUUUUAUGUUGCUAUAGACAAUUUGCUGUACAUUUGCUUUAAAAAAGGCAUUUUAAAGACAAAUAGGUACAUUUAAUUGAUAAAUCAGCCUAGGGACUAUAUUAAUCUUUAUUAUGGAAAUUCUGCCUAACAGCAAAAUAGGUGGAUUACUCCAUCUGUCUAAAUCCCCUUUUGUAGUGUUCCACGGUGGUGACAUAUUUAAUUUAAAUAUAUUUUUAGCUUAACUCGGACCAAUUUUCCCCAGAUAUUUUAUGUGCUGUGUAACAAUUUGGAAGGAAAAAAGAAAGAUUCAAAAAUCCUGGCUAUAGAGACAGUCUAAGAAACUAGAUACAAUAAGAUUGGGUGAAGGAUCAGACCCACUGGACAUGACCUAAAAUUGUCAUAGUUAAUGCUGUAGUCAGAGAUGUGACUAAAGUUACUAAUAAUACCCAUUAAGGCCAGGAGUGAGUUCUGAAAGUUACAAAGCCAAGGAGCUUAGCCUCAUAACAUGCCAGACAAGGUUCUUCUUUUCCUAGAGCACAAAUAUGAACUCUUUGCUCACAAUAAUGAGGAGUUAAUCACAGAAGCAGUCCCAUUGGAGUCAGUUGGGCUACUGUUCUGAGUAACUGCUUGUCAGUGUGAGUAGAUGAUUUACAAUCUGGCCCAAACUGAAAUACCUUUUAUUUCUUUUGAAGAUCAUCUGAAUUUGACCCGGUAGUUGGGAUUUCCUCACUCUGACUCCUUGGUAUCAUGUAAUAAAUAGAAUGUUGUCAAAUGAAUCACAAUCUGGGUCCAUAUACAUUAGCUAGAUCCAUCCGACUCUUCAAAUCCAGAUUUUUCAAAAACAUUUAAAUAACCAUUGCCAUUGGCAGGGUCGGCUCCAGACACCAGCUUACCAAGCAGGUGCUUGGGGUGACCACUUCAAAGAGGGGCGGCAUGUCCAGCUGUUCGGCGGCAAUUCGGCAGAUGGUCCCUCACUCCUGCUUUUUUUUUUUGUUUGGCUGCUUGGGGCGGCCAAAACCCUGGAGCCGGCCCUGGCCGUUGGAUACACCGAUGAAGGUUAAACAUGUCCUAGUCCUAUAUUUCUAAGAGAAAUGUAUUGUAAAACAUCUCUUAUGAAACCCUGGUAUACCAGAGACAAAUACUGCUGUAUUAUAAAAGUAUUUUUUCUCCAGACAGCACAUGAAGAGCCAUACUAUGGACCAAGGACAGGUUCAAGAGUAUUUAGAUUUACUGAAAAAUAGGUACAAAGAAAAAGGAGACAACCUAAUAAAAAAAAAGACCAAAUAAAUUAUUUUUGAACUCUUAUCAUUCUCUAUCAAUUACUUUUUCAUCAAAUCACCAUGAAUUUAAAUUGUGCUCUAAGUUUUAUUCCAUAUUUUGUUUUUUGCCAUUUCAGUGAUAUUUUUAUAAAAUAAAAGGUCUAAAGGUCUUCUUAACAUUGAAUCAGAAAUCUUCAGUUUUAUUAUGGGGUUGUAAGCAGCGCCUCCAUAGGUCAAAAAGAACAUCUAUGGUUUGCUCAUAAGGAUCACUAAAGUUAACUCUUCGUUAGAAAAUACACUGUACAUAUUAAAGGGCUGAUCCAAUGUCCCCUGAAGUAAACAGAAAGACUCCCAUUAAUGUCAGUGGUCUUUGGAUCAAUGCAAAUAUCUGUGGGGAAUAAUCACAUCUACAAUAAACUAAGAUAUUGGUUUUUUUUCUUCUUUCUGAAUACAUUGACAUAAUCUAAACUUGACUAUGUUUAGUUACAGAACUAAGGUACAAUAUCAAACAUAUUUUUUAUACUAUAUCUGAUCUGUGUAGGCAUUUGCAUAUAAAUUUGAAGCCUCCAGACAGUCUAUUGUCAUGGAUUACAGGGUCUGUUCUAUACCCUUGCUUGUAACCGCAAUACUUUGGGAGUGUCCCCUGUAGUGUGCUGGGCUACCAGGACCCUGACAUUUCCACAGGGAUAGCCUACUGCCUCCACGACUCCAAAACUGGGUCUUCAGAUGCCAGCAAUCUUUAUUGUUCACAAUGGCUCCCUGCAGCAGAUCCAGAGAAGCAAGACUCCUGUGGAAGGCUUGUACUGUACUCCUUCAGGGCAUAAUGCUUUCAGUGAGUAUUUGCAGUGACACCUGGCAGCCUUUAAAAAAAAAAAGUAACAAUUUAUUUGUCAUCUGGAGUACAAAAUCUGAAUGUCCUUAAAUUAGACAUUAAGACAA